UACGAAGGGGGCUAGCGUUGCUCGGAAUCACUGGGCGUAAAGGGUGCGUAGGCGGGUCUUUUAAGUCAGGGGUGAAAUCCUGGAGCUCAACUCCAGAACUGCCUUUGAUACUGAAGAUCUUGAGUUCGGGAGAGGUGAGUGGAACUGCGAGUGUAGAGGUGAAAUUCGUAGAUAUUCGCAAGAACACCAGUGGCGAAGGCGGCUCUCUGGGACCGGUACUGACGCUGAGACG
rnacentral:rRNA from 1 species